rnacentral:rRNA from 1 species
CGGCGGGACCCUAGAGCGGUUUCGAUGCUAGUAAUGGUAGUGACUUGGGUUUCGGAUGCUAAUAAGGCAAGUACGAGUCGGUGUCCAACAUGCAUAGUCGGUGUCCAAGAUCAAAGGGAGAGCAGUGUCCAAUGCAACGGCAGAAAACAAUGUUAGGAAGUCCAGAGUUGCUGAUAAGGGCCCCAAGAAGAGCUAUCUUUUUUAUGCUUAAUGACCUGCCCACCUUGGAAACGGCUAAAUCGAAGGUAGCGUCAAGUGAUCAAAAGAGCAUCGUAGUCACGUGGCAUUCGAUGCACCCCUGGCGAUCUUUGAAAAUCUGAAAGACUGAGUCUCGCUCGUGCUAGGUCAUACUCAUAAUUGCAUCAAGCCUCCAAGGUGGACAACCUCUGGCCUAUAGAACAAUGUAGGCAAGGGAAGUCGGCAAAACAUAUCUACAACUUCAAGAAAAUGAUUGCUCUAAAGGUUGGGCAUGAGGAUCUUCGCCUCGAACCUAUCGGUUGUUGACGAAUUGCUGGAGCUACUCCGAUGACGAUAGUGGGUCGUCAUGUGCCCGUCGGGGUACAAACUAGGAACGACCACAUUGGGGGCCUUCCCUGUGCGUCGAAUAGCCACUUCAAAAUUGGUAUGGACAAAGGGAAUUCAAUUAUUUAAUUAAAAUAAAGCAUUGUGAUGGUCCCCAUAGAUGCUCACAUAAUGUGAUUUUUGCCCGGUGCUCUAAAUGUCAAAGUGAAUAAAUUCAACCAAACGCGAGUAAAUGACAAGAGUAACUAUGACUCUCUUAUGAUAGCCAAAUGCAUGGUCAUCUAAUUAGUGACAUAUAUGAAUGGAUUAACGAGAUUCCUAGUAUCCCUGUCUACUAUCCAACGAAACCACAACUAAAGGAACAUGCUUGGCAAAAUCACUAACGAAAGAAGACCUUGACUCUAGUCCGACUUUGUGAAAUGACUUAAGAGGUAUAUGAUAAGUAGGAGUCGAUUUAUCAACAUAAGUGAAAUACCACUACUAUUAAUGUUAUUUUACUUAUUCCUUGAGAUGGAGGCAAAGGCCCAGCCCCUGCUUGUGGACCCAAGACCUACCUAGCCAAUCGAUCCAGGGCGAAGACAUUGUUAGGUGAGGAGAUUGGUUGGGGCGACACAUUUGUUAAAAGAUAACACUGAUAUCCUAAAAUGAGUUCAACGAGUAUAGAAUCUAGUGUGCAACAGAAGGAUAAAAGCUCAUUUGAUUUUGAUUUUUAGUAUGAAUACCAACCAUGAAUAUGUGGCUUAUAGAUCCUUUAAACCUUUAGAAUUUAAAGUUAGAGGUGUCAAAAAAGUUACCACUAGGAUAACUGGCUUGUGGCAACCAAGCGUUAAUAGUAACAUUCUUUUUUGAUCCUUCAAUGUUCACCCAUCAAUAGGGAACGUGAGCUCGAUUUAGAUCGUCAUGAGAUAUGCUAGUUUUACCCUAAUGAUGACAAUGCCACAAUAGUAAUUCAACCUAGUAUGGGAGGAAUCGUUGAUUCACACGAUUGGUCAUUAUACUUGGUUGAAAAGCUAGUGACGCGAAACUAUCGUAUGUCAGAUUAUGACUGAAUAUCUCUAGAUUAGAAUUUUAGCUAGCAAUCGACGCUCUCGCUCGUCGUCUGCCUCUCAAUCCACGAUAGAGGCCUUUAACCCCCAUGAGCUAGUGUCUCUAGUAUAGCCCCCAUGGUGAUAUGACUAUGGGGGUCACUAAUUCUACACGGACGAUAAGUUGAAUCUUUUGCAAACUACUUAAAUACACAACAAUUGU